ACUCCCCACCAAAACCAACUGAAAACCAACAUCCAAAUCUCAUACCUUAACCAGAAGGUCCUGCAUUGGGCCCUCUAGCCAAAGAACUUCAGUCAGUGAAUCAACCGCCUCCAGUUCAUCCAGUCAUGAAUCAGUCUGAUCCAAGUAAUCCUGCACCUGAAGGUCCUGCGCCUGGACUCCAGACAGACGUUCAACCACCUCCAGUUCAGCCACAUUUGACUCAGUCUGAACCAGUCUAUGAAGUUGUUCUCCAGGUUCAUGAAGAACAUACAUACAUGUGUCCUGAUCCAGCUUCUCCACCUGCUGGGCUUCAGCCAGAGAAUCAGUCACCUCCAGUUCAGCCAGUCAUGAAUAUAUCUGCUACAGUUAAUGCAGUGCCACAACUGAUUCAGCCAUAUAAAGACUAUCCAGUCCAAAGCUACCUUCCAAAUCCCAUACCUCAGACAGCAGGACCUGGACAGGUUCCUCCAGCAGGGCUCCAGCCACAGAAUCAACCACUUCCAGUUCAGACAGCCUUGAAUCAAUCUGGUCUGAGUAAUCCAGCACAUCACCAGGUUCAGUCAUAUACAGGCCAUCCAGUCCAAAUCUACCCUCCAAUGCCAUACCUCAGACAGCAGGACCUGGACAGGUUCCUCCAGGUGCAGUGCUCCAGCCACAGAAUCAACCACUUCCAGUUCAGACACUCAUGAAUCAAUCUCCAAAUCCAAUGCCUCAGCCAGGACAGCAACUUUCCACUUACCCUGUGGGAGGUUAUGUAGU
rnacentral:lncRNA from 1 species